rnacentral:rRNA from 1 species
CCUACGGGUGGCAGCAGUAGGGAAUAUUGGACAAUGGGGGAAACCCUGAUGCAGCAACGCCGCGUGAGGGAAGAAGGUUUUCGGUACGUAAACCUCUAUCAUCAGAAAAGAAAAUGACGGUACCUGACUAAUAAGCCCCGGCUAACUACGUGCCAGCAGCCGCGGUAAUACGUAGGGGGCAAGCGUUAUCCGGAUUUAUUGGGUUAAAAGAGUGCGCAGGCGGAAGAUCAAGUCAGCGGUAAAAUUGAGAGGCUAAACCUAUUCGAGCCGUUGAAACUGGUUUUCUUGAGUGAGCGAGAAGUAUGCGGAAUGCGUGGUGUAGCGGUAAAAUGCAUAGAGAUCAAGCAGAACUCCGAUUGCGAAGGCAGCAUACCGGAGCUCAACUGACGCUCAUGCACGAAAGUGUGGGUAUCGAACAGGAUUAGAUACCCCAGUAGUC